rnacentral:rRNA from 1 species
GAUGAACGCUGGCGGCGUGCCUAAUACAUGCAAGUCGAGCGAACAGACGAGGAGCUUGCUCCUCUGACGUUAGCGGCGGACGGGUGAGUAACACGUGGAUAACCUACCUAUAAGACUGGGAUAACUUCGGGAAACCGGAGCUAAUACCGGAUAAUAUAUUGAACCGCAUGGUUCAAUAGUGAAAGACGGUUUUGCUGUCACUUAUAGAUGGAUCCGCGCCGCAUUAGCUAGUUGGUAAGGUAACGGCUUACCAAGGCAACGAUGCGUAGCCGACCUGAGAGGGUGAUCGGCCACACUGGAACUGAGACACGGUCCAGACCCCUACGGGAGGCAGCAGUAGGGAAUCUUCCGCAAUGGGCGAAAGCCUGACGGAGCAACGCCGCGUGAGUGAUGAAGGUCUUCGGAUCGUAAAACUCUGUUAUUAGGGAAGAACAAAUGUGUAAGUAACUAUGCACGUCCUGACGGUACCUAAUCAGAAAGCCACGGCUAACUACGUG